rnacentral:rRNA from 1 species
ACUCAAAUGAAUAGACGGGGACCCACACAAGCGGUGGAGCAUGGGGUUUAAUUCGAUGACAAGCGAAGCACCUCACCCAGACUUGACAUGUUAGGAAGAUUGUAGAAAUACGAUUGUGCCGCAAGGAACCUAAACACAGGCGGUGCACGGUCGUCGUCAGCUCGUGCCUUGAGGUGUACUGUUCAGUCAGCCAACGAGCGCAACCCUCAUCUUGUGUUGCAUUUUCACAAGAGACUGCCGCCUCCAAGGCGGAGGAAGGUGGGGAUGACGUCAGAUCAGCGUGCCCUUUAUGUCUGGGGCAACACCCGUGCUACAAUGACCGGUACAAACGGUUGCGAACCCGCGAGGGGGAGCUAAUCCGAGAAAACCGGCCUCAGUUCGGAUUGAAGUCUGCAACUCGACUUCAUGAAGUUGGAAUCGCUAGUAACCGUGAAUCAGCUACGUCACGGUGAAUAUGUUCCUGGGUCUUGUACACACCGCCCGU